rnacentral:tRNA from 1 species
GAUGAUGUAGCCAAGUGGUAAGGCCUUAGUCUGCAAAACUAAUAUCGUAGGUUCAAAUCCUAUCAUCAUCU